rnacentral:misc_RNA from 1 species
AGCAUACAACGAGAAAGUCUAACAACUCAAAAUGGUUCUCAAUGUACUGUACACAGCAAUGAGCGGAGCCAACAUUUUGUUUCAGCAAUAUGGACCAACAAUUGACAAGGUCCUUUCUUGCUUCCCAUCCCAGAACAGGCAAUUUGUGGAUUAGAAGAUCGAUAACACACUCUUUACAUAUCUCCUGCGUUAGCUGUAAAGCUUGAUCCACAUUGG